rnacentral:rRNA from 1 species
CAGCAGCCGCGGGAAUACGUAGGUGGCAAGCGUUGUCCGGAAUUAUUGGGCGUAAAGCGCGCGCAGGUGGUUUAAUAAGUCUGAUGUGAAAGCCCACGGCUCAACCGUGGAGGGUCAUUGGAAACUGUUAAACUUGAGUGCAGGAGAAAAAAGUGGAAUUCCUAGUGUAGCGGUGAAAUGCGUAGAGAUUAGGAGGAACACCAGUGGCGAAGGCGGCUUUUUGGCCUGUAACUGACACUGAGGCGCGAAAGCGUGGGGAGCAAACAGGAUUAGAUACCCGCGUAGUCCCUGUCUCUUAUAA